rnacentral:rRNA from 1 species
AGCAGCCGCGGUAAUUCCAGCUCCAAUAGCGUAUAUUAAAGUUGUUGCAGUUAAAAAGCUCGUAGUUGAAUUUCGGGAUUGGCUCAUCGGUCGUGCCCUACGGGGUAUGAACUGGUGCAGUCAAUUUCUCACCUUCUGGAGAACCGCGAUGUCCUUAAUUGGGUGCCGCGGGGAACCAGGACCUUUACUUUAAAAAAAUUAGAGUGUUUAAAGCAGGCAUUUUUGCUUGAAUACAUUAGCAUGGAAUAAUAAAAUAGGACGGCAUGGUUCUAUUUUGUUGGUUUCUAGGACCACCGUAAUGAUUAAUAGGGAUAGUUGGGGGCAUUAGUAUUCAAUUGUCAGAGGUGAAAUUCUUGGAUUUAUUGAAGACUAACUACUGCGAAAGCAUUUGCCAAGGAUGUUUUCAUUAAUCAAGAACGAAAGUUAGGGGAUCGAAGACGAUCAGAUACC